AGGUUAUACUGAGGACACCUUCUCAUCAAAUCUUUGAACCGGUUCCAUGCUUCACACAUUGAUUCACCCUCAGAUUGAGUGAAUUUGGUGAUAUCAUUCACCAUCCU